GUCUUUGUAGUAUAUNAAANNCCUUGGUCUUGUAAACCAAAAAAGGAGAACACGCACCCUCCCUAAGACU
rnacentral:tRNA from 1 species